UACGGAGGAUGCGAGCGUUAUCCGGAUUUAUUGGGUUUAAAGGGUGCGUAGGCGGACGCUUAAGUCAGCGGUAAAAUUGCGGGGCUCAACCUCGUCGAGCCGUUGAAACUGGGUGCCUUGAGUGGGCGAGAAGUACGCGGAAUGCGUGGUGUAGCGGUGAAAUGCAUAGAUAUCACGCAGAACUCCGAUUGCGAAGGCGGCGUACCGGCGCCCUACUGACGCUGAAGCACGAAGGCGUGGGUAUCGAACAGG
rnacentral:rRNA from 1 species